UGUGAGACUGUUAAAGCAGCAGUUGUGCAAGCUUAUGAGUUAGUCCCUGAAGCUUACAUACAGAAGUUUCGGCAACACAGGGAAAGUUGCUGGGCAAACUAAUGUGAAAUUUGCCAGAAAGAAUGGGAUCUUAUUCGAAGGUGACCACUGUAGCGCCCACUAGGAGUGAUACAGCCGGACGCAGGGAGUUCCAAACAGGAUCUGCCACCUUGUGCUAAUCACAGGAACAGGAAGUACAGCAUCACACAAAACCACCAAGAAAAACUGCGCUCUUCAAAAUAAACCAGAACAGUCCCCAGGGUGUCACUGUAGGACAAACCAACAAGCAGGAGGACGUGAACCAUUUUGAAGCCAUUUACUACUCUUAUGUCAGCUGCUCUUCCUGCUGAUGAAUAUGUGCCUACCCAUAAGCCAACUUUUAAUGUUAAUGACAAGUACUGUGUUAACAAUGUGCCGCAAUCUCCACCAGGUAAAACCGUUGUGUUGAAGGAGGGCCGGGAAUGUUUAAAACAAAAAAUGCAGUCAAAUUCCUAGUGUAGUAACUCACCAGACAUUGGUUCCACAAGAACAGGGUUUAAUUGGCACCCAAUAAGUCUUCACAGUAGUUACAUUCUAGCUGUAGACUUUUUCCUUCUGAGCAGUAACUCUUCUUCUAACACAUUACAGUAUUACAUCAUUUCUAAGCUGUACCCACAGAGCCUUCUGGUGGACAACCUGUACAGGUCCUUCUCAA